GAAGGAUGAGCAUGUGUCCCCUACCGGGGACAGCCCCAGGGACAAGCUGGGGCCCCGUUACCUCCCUGUGCUGGAUCACCAGUGGCUUGGUGGUGGGGGAUGAGCCAUGGCAGAGAUGGGUUGACCGUCAGGCUCAGGACACCCAGGUGUGCCCCAGCCCCUGCCCGGGCUGACGUCACCAGCCAUGAGGCUGGGGGAGGAAGAGGAGCCGUCCAGUGCGCAGCUGGGAGCGAAGGCCGCGGUGACGUGCUGCACCAGCUGCGUGCAGCCCAGCAGUGUCUGUGCGUUUGCAUAGGUCGGGUCUUCACGGAAGACGAGGAAAAUCCAACACGUUCGACUAUGUACAAGCCAGCGCGGGGCCGG